AAACAAGCCAUAAUUUGGGAAUUUCAUUUCAAAUUUUAAAAAAAAUGUGUGAAAGAUUUUUAACAAAAAGUGGAUGCUAGCUUCUUUGGGUGUCUUUACUAAAUAACAUUGUGCAGAGGUGUAGGUCGACAUUUUGUCAAUUAAUACACAUUUUUUCUUUUUAAAUUGUAAUAGGUUACAUUUUACAUUAUUUGGGAUUUUAAAUGAGUUACUAUAUCAUGAAAAAAAAAAGGAAAUCACGGCUAUGAACAAGUUUGGCAUUUACAUAGUAGCAAUAAUAGUUCUUCAGUAGCUUGCUAAAAAUCUGUACCAAUACUGGUAUAUAGAAACUUGUACCCUAAGAGUAGAAGGACAUUAUAAAUGUAUAAAAAAAAAAAAUCGAAAUAAAUGUACAAGACAUUUUAUGUCAGCUUUUAUGAAAUUUGAAGAUCUUGUGUAGUCAUUUAUUCUUUGUUUUUAACACUUAGAUUAUAAAUUGAUCUGUGUUUUAAAAAGAAAUAUUUUUAACAGGUAACAUUAAAAUUAAGGAAAGUAAAUGUUUUUCAAACAAGAAUUUUAUAAGAAAUAUUAACAAAAUGAAAUUUUAAGACUUUUAUUGGGCCCAGCAAACAAUUUGUUUACAAUA